rnacentral:rRNA from 1 species
UACGUAGGGGGCAAGCGUUGUCCGGAUUUAUUGGGCGUAAAGAGCGUGUAGGCGGCCAGGUAGGCCAGCUGUGAAAACUCGAGGCUCAACCUCGAGACGUCGGUUGAAACCACCUGGCUAGAGUCCGGGAGAGGGAUGUGGAAUUCCAGGUGUAGCGGUGAAAUGCGUAGAUAUCUGGAGGAACACCGGUGGCGAAGGCGGCAUCCUGGACCGGUAUUGACGCUGAGGCGCGAAAGCUAGGGGAGCAAACGGG